UAGACCAGAUAUAUCAUCCAUCUUCAAUUCCGUCACGGUUCUUGACGUGUCAACUAACAGCUACCAACGUGACUUAAAGCUCUAAUAGAACAAUGACAAGUGACCUUCUUCACCCAGCUAAUUUUUCAAAAAAACCCAUAUAUAUAUACAUUUAAAUUUUGGCCCAAAAUAUUUGGGAAAAAUCGGAGGGGAGAGGGCAACGUUCAAUAAAAAAGGGUCAAAAACCAUCGGAGGACACCGAGAAUCUACAGGAAAACCUCUGACUGAUGAAUGCUUCAACCAAAAUAGCCGACAGACUCCCUCUCCAUCUUCUCCUCCCCCUCGCUUGUCGUCUCCCUCUUCCUCAUUCAGGCAUGCUCAGAUUUGAAACCCUAGGAACUCCCCGGUAGAGAAGACGAUCGAGACUGGGAGGGAGCUUCCUGGCAGAAAUGGUGCGGAGCUUAGAGAAGAAUUUGAGCGACACCUAUAUGCUUUCUACGGUUCGUCCGGCCACAGAAAGUCAAUUGGAUUGAGUCAUCAUAUCCAUAUUUCAAUUUCAAUUUUGUAUAUAUCCUAUGGUUGAUUGGCACUAAGUUGACAGAAGUUUGAUCGUU